UCCACUUUGUUUGGACAGAGAUGUGUCAGUUGGCAUUUGAGAACCUGAAGGCCCUGUUGGUCAGUGCCCCAGUCCUGGCUGCCCCUGACUUUAACAAGCCAUUUAAACUGGCUGUCGAUGCUAGUGAUGCUGGGGUAGGUGCUGCCCUACUUCAGGACGACUCAUCAGGUGUUGAACAUCCCGUUUGUUAUUUUUCGAGAAAAUUUGACAUUCAUCAGAAGCAUUACUCUACCAUCGAGAAAGAGGCCUUGGCCCUUAUUUCUGCUCUGGACCACUUCGAGGUGUAUGUCUCUUCCAGUCAGGUCCUGGUGGUCUACACGGACCAUAACCCACUUGUGUUCCUCAGCAGAAUGAGGAACUCCAACCACCGGCUGAUGCGAUGGAGUUUGUUCCUUCAGGGCUUCAACCUGGAGAUAAAGCACAUUCGGGGAAGGGACAAUGUACUCGCUGAUGCCCUUUCAAGAUCAUGAGUGUCCAAAAGCAUCGGUGGUAUAGGUUUUCAUUUGUUUUGUUGUUUUUGGUUUGUGUAACUUGGCGGUUGCCUAGAGCAACCGUUUUAAGGGGGGGGGUGUUAUGUGCAAGUCUGCUCCAUUCUUUUGCAGUUCUCCUGGAGCUCCUCCUUCAGCCCCUCCUCCUCCUGAUUACCUGGCACCUGCUGUUGCCUAUAAAGCCUGGGAGGCUUUAUUGGCUCUCUCUCUAGCCAGGGCCAGCAGCACGGUUCCCAUUCACCAGUCUGUGUAACCUUUAGUGCCAAUAAACCCGGUUUUCUUAUACCUAAUCCUUGUUUGUCGACUAUAUGUUACUCCCCUCGAGCCGGGUCGUAACAGUGUGUGUGUGUGUGUGUGUGUGUGUGUACUCGCCUAACUAUCCAACAGUGGACUUCGGUGUCGUAACACCUUCACCAACAGGGGACCUCCGAGCCAAGAGGGGACAUUUUUCAGGUCCCCUUUUGGUCAUGCCUUAAAUCAACCUAAAAACAUGCCUAAAAUAUUUUGACGCAUUUUCUCAACUUUCGCCAAGAGGGGACCUGAAAGUGUGUGAGUGUUUAGUCCAUACUCUAUAGCGCCUCUGCUGGCCAGAGCUUGAUUUUCAACGACCAAUCCACACACGUCGCUUCAAACACUCCUCUAUUGUGUGAACGACCUGCAGCCAUUCACACGUCUGUCAGAGUGUAGAGGGCUGUUAAACAGACUACUUAGUAAAGUCUCUUCAAACAUGCAAUCACGAAGAAAACCACUUUAAAAGUUCCAUACUUUUUUUGUAUGUAAUGACAGGGGUCCACUGUUGGAUAGCAUGGAGCGACAUUCACACUCCUGCUUUUAUGAAAAGAGGAAUUAACUAUAUAUACUGUAAGGGAAAGAUAGAGAUCUCAACUGAUGUAAUAAUUUGUCAAACUUGAUUUGUUAGUGUGUUUUUAGGAAUAGAAUAGUCUAACAAAAACCUAUCUAUUCAUUUGUAUCAAUAAAAAUGAUUAAUAAAUACAAUUAAAAUACAACAUAAGGGUCUAGACCUUUGAAAUUGUUCGAUCCCCAAAUAAGCCUUAAUUUACCAUUUUACAAUGUACUUCAGUCCCCAAUCUAUUUUUAAAGAAAUGCAUUUGAAUUGUUGAUUUGCAUCACAGAAAGUGGUCCACACUUGUACUGUAUGGAAUGACAGGGGUCCACUGUUGGCUGAUACAUGAUGACAGAAGUUCCCUCUUAGAUAGCAUAGAGUGACAUUCACACUCCAACAUGGAUGAGUAAAAAAAUAAAUAAGCUAAAUGGAUAGUUCUUAAGAGGUAAUAACAAUCUAAAUAUGAUAUAUAUAUAUAUAUAUAUAUUCAAAUAUAUAUAUAUUCAAAUAUAUAUGUAUACAUAUAUAUUGCGUUAUUUUGCAAGUAAAGUUGCCCCAACAAUGUUGUAAUUGUGGCUUGUCAUGAACCCAAAUUUCUAAACUUAAUAAAGUUUUUAUUUCUUUACAACUAGAAACUUGUGUGCUUAGUCUACGGUUAAAGGAAUGUAUUUUAUCUGUUGAUUUGCAUAACAUAAGUUUUUCUAAUGACAGGGGUCCACUGUUGGCUAGGACAAAAUGACACAAGUCCCUUCUUA